GUUCUUGGGCAGAUUAAAGGGAUUCAUGCUGGGGUCAGGCUUUUGGAGCUAUUUUCACAAUAACAUUUGGGUUUGGAUGACUGCAUUUCAAAGGGUUUCAAGUUAGAAUCUUGAUUUCAUACAGAGUAACAGAGAAUAAAGAGUAUGUAAUGCUUAUUUUUUGUAAAAAAAAAAAGAGAGAGAAGAAAAAGAAAAAGGCAAAUAUGGCCAAAUGUUAACAUCUGUUAAAUCUGGAUGGGCCCUGGAGCCAGACUGUCUGGGGUUUGAAAUCAGCUCCUCCACCUACCAGCUAUUGACCUCAGAUGUGCUGUCUGGUGAUCUUAUCUUCGGCUUCCUGGAAGAAUGUAGGAGUCUAAUAUUUUCUGCUCUCUUAUCUUUCGCCUCUUACUUAAAUUGUAACCAACGUUUUGCAGUGGUCCUGCUUUAUUUCUCAGAUUCAUCCAUUCAUUAAGCAUUUCUAUCAUAUACAAGACACGAUGGUUUCAAAGCUGAAUAAAUAGUCUCUUCCUUCAAGAAGUUAUCUACAAUUGUCUUCUUCCUAUUGGGACUGGAGGAUUGGUUCCUGGUCUCUACAGAUUGCUUCACUGUUACUUCAUAAAACUGCAAUUAAUAAUGGUUGGGAACAUGACCUAAUGGUGUGCUACCAUGCAGCUCUUUCCAGCUCCAUGUUCAGUGACUUCAUAUUGGGAGCUGUCUUGUGCGUUGUAGGAUGUUCAGCAGAAUCCCUGGCUUCUACCCACUACAUGCCAGUAGCACCCCCUCUCCAGUUGUGACAACUGCAAAAUGUCUCCAGACAUUGUACCUCGAGGGAUAGAAUUGCCCCCAGUUGAGAACAAUGAAACUAAAAGGAUGAAGAAGAAAGAGGAGGAGGAGGAGAAAAAGAAGGAGGGAGAGGAAGGGAAAAGCGGAAGAGAAAGAGAAGGAGAAGGAAGAGGAGGAAGAAGGGAGGAAGAAGAAAAGGGGAAGAAGUGGAAAGAGAAGAAGGAACAUUUAUAGGAGGCAAUUUGACUUAACAGGGCACUAUACUAUGUGUCAAGCGAUCAGUGUUCUGACCACUGUUUCCCAGUUUCUCCAAUAAGCAAUGAUAAUGUGUCACAUCA
ensembl:lncRNA SAMMSON survival associated mitochondrial melanoma specific oncogenic non-coding RNA